UUGCUGAGAGGAGAGGAACUUUACGCACGGCAUGCACGCGCAAAAUAACUGCAGAUUGAGUGCUUUCGCGCAAUAGGACUGGCUGUGGCUAUUGCCAAUCAAUCCGUAUCCAGACAGCUCUCUUUUGAUGUGCCUGAGCUCCUGAAAUUCCGGCCUCUCGUGUGCAUCCUUGGCCCCAUAAUACCGUGGCCGCUCCAGCUCGCCACUGAGAAUGUCCCUGUAUGGAUAUACUACGCAGGAGAUACGACUUCGGGAGCCGCUCAUCAUUCCUCUUUCUUUUUUUUUUUUUUUCUUUUUUUUGCUUUUUUUAAUCUUGUCUUUGCUUUCAUUGUGCUGAAGAGGGAAUCCACCAAUCAACGCCACUAUGGCCUAGUCGGGCUCGACUUCAAUCAUUCAGGUUUCAUGGUUUCAUUAUUCUUUCCAGCUCCCAGUACAAUUUUUCCCAGUUGAGUUCGGUCUUUUCGCCUCUCCGGUUCAUCGUAUAGUUAACUAUUCAAGG
rnacentral:sRNA from 1 species